CGGACGGGUGAGUAAUGUAUGGGGAUCUGCCUGAUGGCGGGGGGUAACUACUGGAAACGGUAGCUAAUACGCAUAAUGUCUGCGGACCAAAGCGGGGGACCUCCGGGCCUCGCGCCAUCAGAUGAACCCAUAUGGGAUUAGCUUGUAGGUAAGGUAACGGCUUACCUAGGCGACGAUCCCUAGCUGGUCUGAGAGGAUGACCAGCCACACUGGAACUGAGACACGGUCCAG
rnacentral:rRNA from 1 species